rnacentral:sRNA from 1 species
AAAAAAACUUCGUGUUCUUAUAUUUUUUGUUAGGCAAUCAACACAGACAUUGUUACAACAGAGAAUAACUCUAAUAUAAAAUAAAGACAAAAAAU